rnacentral:rRNA from 1 species
CUACGGGUCGCAGCAGUGAGGAAUAUUGCACAAUGGGGGGAACCCUGAUGCAGCAACGCCGCGUGGAGGAUGACGCAUUUCGGUGUGUAAACUCCUUUUAUAUGUCAAGAAAAUGACGGUAGCAUAUGAAUAAGCACCGGCUAACUCCGUGCCAGUAGCCGCGGUAAUACGGAGGGUGCAAGCGUUACUCGGAAUCACUGGGCGUAAAGGACGCGUAGGCGGGCUUGUAAGUCAGGUGUGAAAUCCUACAGCUUAACUGUAGAACUGCACUUGAAACUACGAGCCUAGAGUAUGGGAGGGGGAGAUGGAAUUGGUGGUGUAGGGGUAAAAUCCGUAGAUAUCACUAGGAAUACCUAAAGCGAAGGCGAUCUCCUGGAACAUAACUGACGCUAAGGCGUGAAAGCGUGGGGAGCAAACAGGAUUAGAUACCCGGGUAGUC